UUAACCACCAUUUUCCAAAAU
ensembl:piRNA 21ur-3834 ncRNA